UACGUAGGGGGCAAGCGUUGUCCGGAAUCAUUGGGCGUAAAGAGCGCGUAGGCGGCCCUGUAAGUCCGCUGUGAAAGUCAAGGGCUCAACCCUUGAAGCUGCGUGAUACUGCGAGCUAGAGUCCGGAAGAGGCGAGUGGAAUUCCGUGGUGAGGUCGGAAAUGCGCAGAUAUCGGGAGGAACACCAAUGGCGAAGGCAGCUCGCUGGGACGGUACUGACGCUGAGGCGCGAAAGCGUGGG
rnacentral:rRNA from 1 species